UCCCUGGUGGUUCAGUGGUUAUGACUGCACUGCCAAUGCAGGGGGUGUAGGUUCGAUCCCUGGUCAGGGAA
rnacentral:tRNA from 1 species